UACGUAGGUCCCGAGCGUUGUCCGGAUUUAUUGGGCGUAAAGCGAGCGCAGGCGGUUAGAAAAGUCUGAAGUGAAAGGCAGUGGCUCAACCAUUGUAGGCUUUGGAAACUGUUUAACUUGAGUGCAGAAGGGGAGAGUGGAAUUCCAUGUGUAGCGGUGAAAUGCGUAGAUAUAUGGAGGAACACCGGUGGCGAAAGCGGCUCUCUGGUCUGUAACUGACGCUGAGGCUCGAAAGCGUGGGGAGC
rnacentral:rRNA from 1 species